GACGAACGCUGGCGGCAUGCCUAAUACAUGCAAGUAGAACGCAGUUGCGAACGCGUGAGUAACUCGUAGGUAACUGCCUCAUCGCGGGGCAUAAAUAUUGGAAACGAUAGCUAAUACCGCAUACUGUGAGAUGGACCUGCGUUGUAUUAGCUAGUUGGUGAGGUAAAGGCUCACCAAGGCGAAGAUACAUAGCCGACCUGAGAGUGUGAUCGGCCACACUGAGACUGAGACACGGCCCAGACUCCUACUGGAGGAAGCAGUAGGGGAUCUUCGGCAAUGUAAGGAAGUCUGACCCAGCAACGCCGCGUUAGUGAAGAGGAUUUUCGGAUCGUAAAUCUCUGUUGUUAGAUAAGCGGUAACUAACGAGAAAGGGUCGGCUAACUGCGUGCCAGCAGCCGCGGUAAUAC
rnacentral:rRNA from 1 species